CCGACGAAGCGAAAGUGACGGUAGGAGUAUAAGAAGCACCGGCCAACUACGUGCCAGCAGCCGCGGUAAUACGUAGGGUGCGAGCGUUGUCCGGAAUUACUGGGCGUAAAGAGCUUGUAGGCGGCUUGUCGCGUCGAUCGUGAAAACUCGGGGCUCAACCCCGAGCUUGCGGUCGAUACGGGCAGGCUUGAGUACUUCAGGGGAGACUGGAAUUCCUGGUGUAGCGGUGAAAUGCGCAGAUAUCAGGAGGAACACCGGUGGCGAAGGCGGGUCUCUGGGAAGUAACUGACGCUGAGAAGCGAAAGCGUGGGUAGCGAACAGGAUUAGAUACCCUGGUAGUCCACGCCGUAAACGGUGGGUACUAGGUGUGGGUUUCCUUCCACGGGAUCCGUGCCGUAGCUAACGCAUUAAGUACCCCGCCUGGGGAGUACGGCCGCAAGGCUAAAACUCAAAGGAAUUGACGGGGGCCCGCACAAGCGGCGGAGCAUGUGGAUUAAUUCGAUGCAACGCGAAGAACCUUACCUGGGUUUGACAUACACCGGAAACCUGCAGAGAUGUAGGCCCCCUUGUGGUCGGUGUACAGGUGGUGCAUGGCUGUCGUCAGCUCGUGUCGUGAGAUGUUGGGUUAAGUCCCGCAACGAGCGCAACCCUUAUCUUAUGUUGCCAGCGCGUAAUGGCGGGGACUCGUGAGAGACUGCCGGGGUCAACUCGGAGGAAGGUGGGGACGACGUCAAGUCAUCAUGCCCCUUAUGUCCAGGGCUUCACACAUGCUACAAUGGCCGGUACAGAGGGCUGCGAUACCGUGAGGUGGAGCGAAUCCCUUAAAGCCGGUCUCAGUUCGGAUCGGGGUCUGCAACUCGACCCCGUGAAGUUGGAGUCGCUAGUAAUCGCAGAUCAGCAACGCUGCGGUGAAUACGUUCCCGGGCCUUGUACACACCGCCCGUCACGUCAUGAAAGUCGGUAACACCCGAAGCCGGUGGCCUAAC
rnacentral:rRNA from 1 species